AUGAGGAGGAGGAAUUGGCUGGGGAACCCUGUGUGUUCCUUCUGUAACCAUAUUGAAACUGCGUCCCACUUAUUCUUUACGUGUCCUGUGGCGCGUGUUGCCUGGAGGGCAGUUGGAGUUGUGCUAGGGACUGACUUAUGUCCAAAUAACAUCUGGCAAUUCUAUGUGUGGUGUAACAUGUUCCUACCCAAUGAAACCAGAUUUUAUGCUAUUGGUUUGGCGGCAGUAACUUGGGCUAUUUAGCUUGCGCGAAAUAAGGCUACUUUUGAAAAGCAUUUGAUCAAAUCUCCUUUUGAGAUUGUGUAUUCGGCUUGUUUGUUUCUCUUGUAUUGGGCAGGUCUUCAGCCGGUGGAAGAAGCGUCAAGGUUGCGACUCGGAGCUGAGAUGAUUAGAGCAAGCACAACCAAGUUGAUGGCGAUGUGUGAAGGGGCUAGGCGUGCCACGGGAGACAAGGGUGAGGUGUUCUCUGGAUGA
rnacentral:rRNA from 1 species